GGAAACGAGAUAUUCAUCCAUUUCUUGUGCGAGUGGACACAUUCGAAUGAGAUGCAUUCAGAGGCAUAAUUAACAAAAAGAACUGAACGGCCUACUGAAAGUAGCGAAAAGAAGAGUUAAGGCGGAAAGGAGCAAGAAUUCGAGAACUUUGUGAUGAAUUUGAAAGAAGUCCACAAGGACAUGAAAUUAAAAAAAUAGUUAAUGAGGAAUUUCAACUGGAUAGGAUGUUAUUUCCAUGCAGAAAAGAAUUUGAUAUUCAAGCUUGAAAAGAUUUAUCUGAAGGAUUUCUUUGAAGGUGUUGUGAAAGGCAAUGGCAACGAUGCAGUUUGUCAUUCAAGUUCUUAUACAUGAUAUGUUUUACAUGGUGAAAAAUGAAUAAUUUUACACGAAAUUAACGAAAAUGUGAUAAAAUGAAUUAAUAAAAAUUAUUUUAAAUUUUUAAAAA
rnacentral:lncRNA from 1 species